GAGGGUAUAGCUCAGUGGUAGAGCGCAUGCUUAGCAUGCACAAGGUCCUGGGUUCAACCCCCAGUACCUCCA
rnacentral:tRNA from 1 species